CACGGGUCGAGAGCUAGCGUCGCUCUUCUGAUGAGUCUAAGGCAAGACGAAGCCAGUG
rnacentral:sRNA from 1 species